rnacentral:rRNA from 1 species
UUAGAGUUUGAUGCCUGGCUCAGAACGUACGCUGGCGGCACGCCUAACACAUGCAAGUCGAACGAAGUAGCAAUACUUAGUGGCAGACGGGUGAGUAACAUGUAGGUAUCUGCCCUUUGGCCUGGAAUAACACGAGGAAACUUGUGCUAAUACCGGAUAAGUCUUUACGGAGAAAGCUUUAUGCACCAUUGGAUGAGCCUGCACUUGAUUAGUUUGUUGGUGGGGUAAUGGCCUACCAAGACUGUGAUCAAUAGCUGAUUUGAGAGGAUGAUCAGCCACAUUGGGACUGAGACACGGCCCAAACUCCUACGGGAGGCAGCAGUGGGGAAUCUUGCACAAUGGAGGAAACUCUGAUGCAGCGAUGCCGCGUGAGUGAAGAAGGCCUUUGGGUUGUAAAGCUCUUUCGUCGGGGAAGAAAAUGACUGUACCCGAAUAAGAAGGUCCGGCUAACUUCGUGCCAGCAGCCGCGGUAAUACGAAGGGACCUAGCGUAGUUCGGAAUUACUGGGCUUAAAGAGUUCGUAGGUGGUUGAAAAAGUUAGUGGUGAAAUCCCAGAGCUUAACUCUGGAACUGCCAUUAAAACUUUUCAGCUAGAGUAUGAUAGAGGAAAGCAGAAUUUCUAGUGUAGAGGUGAAAUUCGUAGAUAUUAGAAAGAAUACCAAUUGCGAAGGCAGCUUUCUGGAUCAUUACUGACACUGAGGAACGAAAGCAUGGGUAGCGAAGAGGAUUAGAUACCCUCGUAGUCCAUGCCGUAAACGAUGUGUGUUAGACGUUGGAAAUUUAUUUUCAGUGUCGCAGGGAAACCGAUAAACACACCGCCUGGGGAGUACGACCGCAAGGUUAAAACUCAAAUGAAUUGACGGGGACCCGCACAAGUAGUGGAGCAUGUGGUUUAAUUCGAAGAUACGCGCAGAACCUUACCAACACUUGACAUGUUCGUCGCGACUCUAAGAGAUUAGAGUUUUCGGUUCGGCCGGACGAAACACAGGUGCUGCAUGGCUGUCGUCAGCUCGUGUCGUGAGAUGUUGGGUUAAGUCCCGCAACGAGCGCAACCCUCACUUUUAGUUGCCAUCAUUAAGUUGGGCACUCUGAAAGAACUGCCAGUGAUAAGCUGGAGGAAGGUGGGGAUGACGUCAAGUCCUCAUGGCCCUUACGUGUUGGGCUACACGCGUGCUACAAUGGUAUCUACAACAGGAAGCAAAACUGCGAAGUUAAGCAAAUCCCUAAAAGAUACCUCAGUUCGGAUUGCACUCUGCAACUCGAGUGCAUGAAGCUGGAAUUACUAGUAAUCGUGGAUCAGCGUGCCACGGUGAAUGCGUUCCCGGGUCUUGUACUCACCGCCCGUCA